GCAGUUUAUGUCCGGCACGGAGACAAAAUAGAUGCAAAAUAUGUUUUCCUGAAAAACGUACCUUAAAAUAGAAGUGCACUUAUCUUGAAAACACUUCACUUGCCUUGCAUGAAAACAUGCUCUAAAUGACCAGCGAAGAUUACUCGAUGUAAAGUGCCAAGAGGUAAUGCGAUACAAUGACAAAAAAAUGAUUUCUGGACGAUCGAAACGGGAGCCUCUGAUGAACACCGGCCGCGGGAAUGAUCAGCUCUGGCUUCUCCACCUUUUGGACGAACAGGGCGAACAGGUUGGGCAGCCACAGCUUCGAAAUGGCGUCCGUGUCCAUUUGCACGUACGGCUUCGUCAUGUCUGAAACCAGACACAGAAACUACUUCAGUAUAGUGGAUCAGUCGUCCUGAAUAGGUAUAGAUCAUGCUAUGUAACAAACAAUGCUGAGUUAUUGCUGUGUACAUUGAUCAUGUACUUAACUUCACUGACUGAAUCGAUCCUGGGAACUUUAUAAGGCAAUUCUCAGGGACGAGAAGUUCAGGGCAAGCAGUAAACAUUCACUCUAACAAGUUCAAGCGUCUUGCUCCUAUAUGAAAGUACCGGCACCACUCUGCCAAUCGCCAUUGACCGAAUUCAGCAUUUGCCGGCAAUGCGAUUGCAUGAGAACAUUUCAUGAUUGGUUUGAUGGUAUUGCGUUCUUCGCUAAAUUGAGCAUGUAUCGCUCAAGUUCACUUUAGUGUGGCCAACUUGGCCGACACUCACUUUCAAUAAUGAAGCGGUUUUCCUUCCAAAAUGUUCGGAAGUAGGAGUCAAACUUGACCGUCUGAAAAAAGAGAGGACACGUGUGAUUAAAUUUGUUGCGAUUGCGAGCUUGGUAUGCCUCCCUUUUUGUACCAUUUUUAUCCUUCAAGCUUAUCUACAAGUUUAUGUAGUCGGUGAAAUCUUGUUGCAAUCUAUCUCAGCUUGGUAUGCUUCCCUUUUCGUGCCAUUUUAUCCUUCAAAUUUAUCUAACUAGUCGGUGGUUAUUAAGAAAAAUUACAAAUUGAUUGCCGAUCAACUAUGAUGCCCGGCCAUGUUAAUCACAGCAUGGUGUUUACAAAUUUUCGCAUAUUCACAUCGUCAAGAUUGUGGCCACAUUUUAGUGGCUUGUUGCGCUGCGUAUCGCAGGUCCCAUGUAUCGGGUAUCCACACUCCACAGCGCUGUGACUUUUCACUGGACUCUCCGCCCGUUUUUCGUGUAAUGAACUGUAGUCUAUACUGACCUGAGCGCGUUCGUCCAGUACGAUGUCCAAGAUGUGCAGGCUAAGCUCCACUGUGACUGGCUCUCCUGAAAAUGGCAUUGAUUAACGGUAUGACCGGAUGACAUACUUGGUUUUAUGUCUGCUGUUUCUUGUAUUAUAGUAAGUAAAAAUAUCUUAAAGCUAACCGGAAUAAAGACGAUUGGUGGUA